rnacentral:sRNA from 1 species
AUAUCCAGCAGUAGUAAGUGGGCGCAUGGGUUUGGCGGCAUAGCGGCCAGCGGAAGCACCCAUGCGCGGUAAUCAGGCCCCCGAGAGGGGCUUUUUUGUUGCC